GACGAACGCUGGCGGCGUGCUUAACACAUGCAAGUCGAACGAAGAGCGACGGAAGCUUGCUUCUAUCAAUCUUAGUGGCGAACGGGUGAGUAACGCGUAAUCAACCUGCCCUUCAGAGGGGGACAACAGUUGGAAACGACUGCUAAUACCGCAUACGAUCUAAUCUCGGCAUCGAGGAUGGAUGAAAGGUGGCCUCUACAUGUAAGCUAUCACUGAAGGAGGGGAUUGCGUCUGAUUAGCUAGUUGGGGGGGUAACGGCCCACCAAGGCGAUGAUCAGUAGCCGGUCUGAGAGGAUGAACGGCCACAUUGGGACUGAGACACGGCCCAGACUGCUACGGGAGGCAGCAGUGGGGAAUCUUCCGCAAUGGACGAAAGUCUGACGGAGCAACGCCGGGUGAGUGAUGACGGCCUUCGGGUUGUAAAGCUCUGUUAAUCGGGACGAAGGGCCUUCUUGCGAAUAGGGAGAAGGAUUGACGGUACCGGAAUAGAAAGCCACGGCUAACUACGUG
rnacentral:rRNA from 1 species